rnacentral:rRNA from 1 species
CUCCUUAAUGCGCAGAUAUCAGGAGGAACACCGAUGGCGAAGGCAGAUCUCUGGGCCGUAACUGACGCUGAGGAGCGAAAGGGUGGGGAGCAAACAGGCUUAGAUACCCUGGUAGUCCACCCCGUAAACGUUGGGAACUAGUUGUGGGGUCCUUUCCACGGAUUCCGUGACGCAGCUAACGCAUUAAGUUCCCCGCCUGGGGAGUACGGCCGCAAGGCUAAAACUCAAAGGAAUUGACGGGGACCCGCACAAGCGGCGGAGCAUGCGGAUUAAUUCGAUGCAACGCGAAGAACCUUACCAAGGCUUGACAUACACCAGAACACCGUAAAAAUACGGGACUCUUUGGACCUGGUG